rnacentral:rRNA from 1 species
UAGGGAAUCUUCGGCAAUGGGGGCAACCCUGACCGAGCAACGCCGCGUGAGUGAAGAAGGUUUUCGGAUCGUAAAGCUCUGUUGUAAGAGAAGAACGUGUGUGAGAGUGGAAAGUUCACACAGUGACGGUAACUUACCAGAAAGGGACGGCUAACUACGUGCCAGCAGCCGCGGUAAUACGUAGGUCCCGAGCGUUGUCCGGAUUUAUUGGGCGUAAAGCGAGCGCAGGCGGUUUAAUAAGUCUGAAGUUAAAGGCAGUGGCUUAACCAUUGUUCGCUUUGGAAUCUGUUAAACUUGAGUGCAGAAGGGGAGAGUGGAAUUCCAUGUGUAGCGGUGAAAUGCGUAGAUAUAUGGAGGAACACCGGUGGCGAAAGCGGCUCUCUGGUCUGUAACUGACGCUGAGGCUCGAAAGCGUGGGGAGCAAACAGG